UGGGGAAUCUUCCGCAAUGGACGAAAGUCUGACGGAGCAACGCCGCGUGAGUGAAGACGGCCUUCGGGUUGUAAAGCUCUGUGAUUCGGGACGAAAGGCCAUAUGUGAAUAAUAUAUGGAAAUGACGGUACCGAAAAAGCAAGCCACGGCUAACUACGUGCCAGCAGCCGCGGUAAUACGUAGGUGGCAAGCGUUGUCCGGAAUUAUUGGGCGUAAAGCGCGCGCAGGCGGUCACUUAAGUCCAUCUUAGAAGUGCGGGGCUUAACCCCGGGAUGGGAUGGAAACUGGGAGACUGGAGUAUCGGAGAGGAAAGUGGAAUUCCUAGUGUAGCGGUGAAAUGCGUAGAUAGUAGGAAGAACACCGGUGGCGAAGGCGACUUUCUGGACGAAAACUGACGCUGAGGCGCGAAAGCGUGGGGAGCAAACAGG
rnacentral:rRNA from 1 species